AAAGUCGUAACAAGGUCUCCGUAGGUGAACCUGCGGAGGGAUCAUUAUCAGUUAACAACUGACCCGAACUCCCUCGCGGGAUUGUAGGGUACACGCGUAACAAACCCUUUGUUGUCCGACCAUGUUGCCUCGGGGGAGACCCUGCCUUCGGGCGGGUGGCACCCCGGUGGACCAAACCAAACUCUUGCAUAACAAUGUAGUCUGAGUGAUUUAAACAAUAAAUCAAAACUUUCAACAACGGAUCUCUUGGUUCUG
rnacentral:misc_RNA from 1 species